AGGGACUUAGGAUUACUUCAAACCAGAGGCCUUCAAAGCCUUUAACAAGAGCAUCAACCUCUUAGUGCCUG
rnacentral:tRNA from 1 species